rnacentral:rRNA from 1 species
CCUACGGGAGGCUGCAGUGGGGAAUAUUGGACAAUGGGGGGAACCCUGAUCCAGCCAUGCCGCGUGUGUGAAGAAGGCCCUCGGGUUGUAAAGCACUUUCAGUGAGGAAGAACGCCUGGUGGUUAAUACCCAUCAGGAAAGACAUCACUCACAGAAGAAGCACCGGCUAACUCCGUGCCAGCAGCCGCGGUAAUACGGAGGGUGCGAGCGUUAAUCGGAAUUACUGGGCGUAAAGCGCGCGUAGGUGGCUUGAUAAGCCGGUUGUGAAAGCCCCGGGCUCAACCUGGGAACGGCAUCCGGAACUGUCAAGCUAGAGUGCAGGCGAGGAAGGUAGAAUUCCCGGUGUAGCGGUGAAAUGCGUAGAGAUCGGGAGGAAUACCAGUGGCGAAGGCGGCCUUCUGGACUGACACUGACACUGAGGUGCGAAAGCGUGGGUAGCAAACAGGAUUAGAUACCCUAGUAGUC